rnacentral:rRNA from 1 species
AUACGGAGGGUGCAAGCGUUAUUCGGAAUCACUGGGCGUAAAGGACGCGCAGGCGGGUUGGCAAGUCAGAUGUGAAAUCCUACAGCUUAACUGUAGAACUGCAUUUGAAACUGCUAACCUAGAGUAUGGGAGGGGGAGAUGGAAUUAGUGGUGUAGGGGUAAAAUCCGUAGAUAUCACUAGGAAUACCGAAAGCGAAGGCGAUCUCCUGGAACAUAACUGACGCUAAGGCGUGAAAGCGUGGGGAGCAAACAGGAUUAGAAACCCCUGUAGUCC